AUCUGCAGUGUCGUUUUGCCUACAGAAUAAUUUUCUAGCUCUUAAAAGCAUUUUCGCGUGGGUGCAUGGUGAGGCUAGGCAGGGCAAGGGGUGACAGCGGGGCACGGUUUUCUCAGGCAAAGGUCACUCUUAGUCUUUCGGCAGAGUGCUCUCGCGUACUCGUGGGAGCGCUGAUUUUUGCAUGACAGCGACGUGGGGGUUCGUGUUUUUCGUGUUCUUUUCAAGCGCCUCUGCCAAAUACCUUAAACCUGCUUGCCACCAGUCUGUAAGUCGUCGUCAACUUUCAGGGAGAACAUCGGUAAGAAGGAAGCGGUAUCUCUUUCGGGGUAAAGAGCUCGGUCCCGUCUGCGUAAAUGAGUAACAUAGCAAACAACCGGCUGUCCGCGGAAAAGAAAGCAAGCGGUAUCCAGGUGGCGGGGGAACUAAUUAUACGACGCGACAAGUUUCUCCCUCAGCAGUUGUUGCGAGGAGUCAAAGAAGACCGCGGUGACGUACUGGUGUUUGCUUCAAUCAGAUCAGUGGCUACGAAAGGGGCAACGACGAUGUGGUGAUAGACUACAAUGCCACUAUUUAAAUCUGUCACGUCCCGUUAUCCAUUGAAAUUGGUAAGAAACUAUAUGUGUCUCAGGGACUAACCAUAGAACAAUGUGUCGACCUACUCAUGUCUGUCUGAUUCAGAUCAGCGACCCUGCAGGAGGCCGCCAUGACACCGCUGAUCUGGUGAUGAUAGCUGCGUUACAAAUGUCUAAAUAUCUAACUUCCCACUCUUUUUUGGAAUUGAUGAAGACCUAUCUGGGUACAUCUGGUGCGUCACGGAGUACAGCAACGUCGAGCAUGCCAAAACAAAGUUAACACCAGAUCGAACGCAACGGCAAAAUUAACGCGUAGAGUGCGUUCUAUCAAAGCCGAUUAACACGCAAUCUGACAGCUUAACAUCAUCAUGCUGAAUUAUCGGAACCUCAUCCAAGCAAUAAUGGCAUCAAAGCAGCUCGAACGCACAAGCUCGUCGAAUGGUGUCGUGGUUUUCCACCGCUGAAGAGGCACAACAUGUAUGUUCCACAUUGCUGCAGCAAGACUGUUUGUCCCGCACUUGCACGUCACGCCGUGUAUUGUACAAUCAGUUUACGACUUCAUCUCUUCAUUUGCAUAAACUCCCGACGCCGAACGCUUGCGGGCAUCACCCUAGCGUUCAAACCUUCUUCAGAAGCAUCUUGUGUUUUUCAUAGUCCGAGUCUAGUCAGAAGGGCACCAAGAUGAUAAAUUAAAGAGGUCUGAGUUGUAUGCGCCAUUUGCCCAAGUGGACACUUGAAGCCUGUGCUUCCUCGAUCUGACCAGCGUGUCUAAGUCUAUGUUCGGCACUAAAAAUACCAAACAUCUGAGAUUGGUGACGGGCUGGGGAAGAAACGACAUCAGCGUCAUGACCAGACUCGUUUGUCGCAGCGAGCGUUUCUCUGACUUGUAUCCUUGGGACGCUGAAGGCUCGGCAAGGAGAG
rnacentral:lncRNA from 1 species